rnacentral:tRNA from 1 species
CGGGGCGUGGCGCAGCCUGGUUAGCGCGUCCGUCUGGGGGACGGGAGGUCGCUGGUUCGAAUCCAGUCGCCCCGACCA